rnacentral:rRNA from 1 species
AACGAACGCUGGCGGCAUGCCUAACACAUGCAAGUCGAACGAGACCUUCGGGUCUAGUGGCGCACGGGUGCGUAACGCGUGGGAAUCUGCCCUUGGGUUCGGAAUAACAGUUAGAAAUGACUGCUAAUACCGGAUAAUGUCUUCGGACCAAAGAUUUAUCGCCCAGGGAUGAGCCCGCGUAGGAUUAGCUAGUUGGUGAGGUAAAGGCUCACCAAGGCGACGAUCCUUAGCUGGUCUGAGAGGAUGAUCAGCCACACUGGGACUGAGACACGGCCCAGACUCCUACGGGAGGCAGCAGUGGGGAAUAUUGGACAAUGGCGAAAGCCUGAUCCAGCAAUGCCGCGUGAGUGAUGAAGGCCUUAGGGUUGUAAAGCUCUUUUACCCGGGAUGAUAAUAACAGUACCGGGAGAAUAAGCCCCGGCUAACUCCGUGCCAGCAGCCGCGGUAAU